rnacentral:rRNA from 1 species
CCUACGGGAGGCAGCAGUGGGGGAUAUUGCACAAUGGGGGAAACCCUGAUGCAGCGACGCCGCGUGAGUGAAGAAGUAUUUCGGUAUGUAAAGCUCUAUCAGCAGGGAAGAAAAUGACAGUACCUGAACAAGAAGCCCCGGCUAACUACGUGCCAGCAGCCGCGGUAAUACGUAGGGGGCAAGCGUUAUCCGGAUUUACUGGGUGUAAGGGGAGCGUAGACGGUUAUGUAAGUCUGGAGUGAAAGCCCGGGGCCCAACCCCUGGACUGCUUUGGAGACUGUGUAACUGGAGGACAGGAGGGGCAGGCGGAAUUCCUGGUGUAGCGGUGAAAUGCGUAGAUAUCAGGAGGAACACCGGCGGCGAAGGCGGCCUGCUAGACUGAAACUGACGUUGAGGCUCGAAAGCGUGGGGAGCAAACAGGAUUAGAUACCCGAGUAGUC